rnacentral:rRNA from 1 species
AUUGAACGCUGGCGGCAGGCCUAACACAUGCAAGUCGAACGAGUGGCGGACGGGUGAGUAAUGUCUGGGAAACUGCCCGAUGGUGGGGGAUAACGACUGGAAACGGUAGCUAAUACCGCAUACCAUCGGAUGUGCCCAGGUGGGAUUAGCUAGUAGGUGGGGUAACGCCUCACCUAGGCGACGAUCGCUAGCUGGUCUGAGCGGAUGACCAGCCACACUGGAACGGAGACACGGUCCAGAAGCCGACGGGAGGAAGCAGUGGGGAAUAUUGCACAAGGGGCGCAAGCCUGAUGCAGCCAUGCCGCGUGUAUGAAGAAGGCCUUAGGGUUGUAAAGGACUUUCAGCUAGGAGGCGUUACUCGCAGAAGAAGCACCGGCUAACUCCGUGCCAGCAGCCGCGGUAAUUC